AGGGGGGGGAAAUGUUUUUUUUUGGAAGGGGGCAAGCCCCAGAGAUCCUACGUGUGGGAAGGCCACAAACCCUUUGGGAAUUAACCCCCUUUUGGAGGGGGGAAAAUUUGACGGUCCCCCCGAAAAAAGCCCCGCCUAAUUCUGUCCCACCAGCCGGGGUAAUACGUAGGGGCCAAGCUUUUUCCGGAUUUUUUGGGGGUAAAGGGCGCGCAGGGGGUUGUUUAAUUCGGGGGUGAAAUCCCCGGGUUCAACCGGGGGAGGUCGUUGGAAACUGCCGGCCUGGAGUCCGGAAGAGGGAAGUGGAAUUCCCGGGGUAGGGGUGAAAUGCGUAGAUUUCGGGGGGAACCCCGGUGGGGAAGGGGGCUUCCUGGCCCGUACCUGACGUUGAGGCGCGAAAGCGUGGGGAGCAACCGGGAUUAGAUACCCCGGGUAUUCCCCCCCUUAAACGAUGGCCCCUAGGUGUGGGGGGUAUCGACCCCUUCCCGUGCCGCAGCUAACGCAUUAAGCGCCCCGCUGGGAGUACGGCCGCAGGU
rnacentral:rRNA from 1 species